AAGGAAUAUUGGACAAUGGACGGAAGUCUGAUCCAGCCAUGCCGCGUGAAGGAAGAAGGCGCUCAGCGUUGUAAACUUCUUUUGGACGGGGACAAACCUGUGGAUUUAUCCGCAGCUGAGGGUACCGUCAGAAUAAGCACCGGCUAACUCCGUGCCAGCAGCCGCGGUAAUACGGAGGGUGCAAGCGUUAUCCGGAAUCACUGGGUUUAAAGGGUGCGUAGGCGGUCUGGUAAGUCAGUCGUGAAAUCGCCGGGCUUAACCCGUGCAACUGCGAUUGAUACUGCCGGACUUGAAUGAGGUUGAGGUAGGCGGAAUGUGGCAUGUAGCGGUGAAAUGCUUAGAUAUGCCAUAGAACACCGAUUGCGAAGGCAGCUUGCUGGUCCUUCAUUGACGCUGAGGCACGAAAGCGUGGGGAGCAAAC
rnacentral:rRNA from 1 species